rnacentral:rRNA from 1 species
ACUUGGGUGAAUGUAUUCUUAUUGUAAUUUUUAUAAGUUUAUAAAGGUUAAAUUAAGAACUCAAAACUUUUGAUUAUAGUUCUAGAUAAAAUAUUGAUAAUGACAAAGUUUUAUCUAUAUGUCUUGACCAAAUCUUGUGCCAGCAGUCGCGGCAACACAAGGAAGACAAGUGUUAUUCAUCUUAAAUCGGUUUAAAGGGUACCUAGACAGUAAAUUAUGCCUUAAUUGGAACGUUUUUACUAGAGUUAUAUAUGCGUGAGGAAUGUGUGAGUAUUACCAGAGUAGAGAUGCAAUUUUUUAAUACUGUUAAGACUGGUAAAGGCGAAAGCAAACCUUUAUAUAUUAACUGACGUUGAGGGACGAAGGCUUGGGUAGCAAACAGGAUUAGAUACCCUAAUAGUCCAGGCAGAGAAUUAUGAAUGCCAUAAAAUGCAUUAAAUGCUUUUUAUAAAUGAAAGUGUAAGCA